rnacentral:rRNA from 1 species
GACGAACGCUGGCGGCGUGCUUAACACAUGCAAGUCGAGCGGUAAGGCCCCUUCGGGGGUACACGAGCGGCGAACGGGUGAGUAACACGUGGGUGACCUGCCCUCAGCUCUGGGAUAAGCCUGGGAAACUGGGUCUAAUACCGGAUAUGACUCCAUGACGCAUGUCGUGGGGUGGAAAGCCUUGUGCGGCUGGGGGAUGGGCCCGCGGCCUAUCAGCUUGUUGGUGGGGUGAUGGCCUACCAAGGCGACGACGGGUAGCCGGCCUGAGAGGGCGACCGGCCACACUGGGACUGAGACACGGCCCAGACUCCUACGGGAGGCAGCAGUGGGGAAUCUUGCGCAAUGGGCGAAAGCCUGACGCAGCGACGCCGCGUGAGGGAUGACGGCCUGG